GAUGAACGCUAGCGGGAGGCUUAACACAUGCAAGUCGAGGGGUAAAUGGUAGCAAUACUAUGAGACCGGCGGACGGGUGCGUAACGCGUAUGCAACAUACCUUGUGCAGGGGGAUAGCCCGUGGAAACGCGGAUUAAUAUUCCAUAGUCCAGCUAUAUCGCAUGGUAUAGUUGGUAAAGAUUUAUCGGCACAAGUUUGGCAUGCGUCUGAUUAGCUUGUUGGUAGGGUAACGGCCUACCAAGGCUACGAUCAGUAGGGGUUCUGAGAGGAUUAACCCCCACACUGGUACUGAGACACGGACCAGACUCCUACGGGAGGCAGCAGUGAGGAAUAUUGGACAAUGGAUGGAAAUCUGAUCCAGCCAUGCCGCGUGCAGGAAGACGGCCCUAUGGGUUGUAAACUGCUUUUAUAUGGGAGCAAUAAGGUUUACGCGUAGACCGAUGAGAGUACCAUAUGAAUAAGCAUCGGCUAACUCCGUGCCAGCAGCCG
rnacentral:rRNA from 1 species